AGCAGCCGCGGUAAUUCCAGCUCCAAUAGCGUAUAUUAAAGUUGUUGCAGUUAAAAAGCUCGUAGUUGAAUUUCGGGGUUAGUAGGUUGGUCAUGCCUCUGGUAUGUACUGGUCUCACUGAUUCCUCCUUCCUGAUGAACCUUAAUGCCAUUAAUUUGGUGUUUUGGGGAAUUUGGACUGUUACUUUGAAAAAAUUUAGAGUGUUUAAAGCAAGCUAACGCUUGAAUACAUUAGCAUGGAAUAAUGAAAUAGGACGUUCGAUCCUAUUUUGUUGGUUUCUAGGAUUGACGUAAUGAUUAAUAGGGAUAGUUGGGGCGGAUUAGUAUUCAAUUGUCAGAGGCGAAAUUCUUGGAUUUAUUGAAGACUAACUACUGCGAAAGCAUUUGCCAAGGAUGUUUUCAUUAAUCAAGAGCGAAAGUUAGGGGAUCGAAGACGAUCAGAUACCGUCGUAGUCUUAACCAUAAACUAUGCCGACUAGGGAUCGGAUGAUGUUAAUUUUUUAAUGACUCAUUCGGCGCCU
rnacentral:rRNA from 1 species